rnacentral:rRNA from 1 species
UAGCCGUAAACGAUACUCGCUAGGUGUCGGCCACGGUGCGACCGUUGUCGGUGCCGUAGGGAAGCCGUGAAGCGAGCCACCUGGGAAGUACGGCCGCAAGGCUGAAACUUAAAGGAAUUGGCGGGGGAGCACCACAACGGGUGGAGCUUGCGGUUUAACUGGAUUCAACGCCGGAAAUCUUACCGGGACCGACAGCAACAUGAAGGCCAGGCUGAAGACUUUGCCGGAUUAGCUGAGAGGAGGUGCAUGGCGUAGUCGUGU